rnacentral:sRNA from 1 species
AUAUGUUUUUUUUUUUUUUAUGCAAUAGUAUAAAAUAUUAGGCUUCACUAGAAGCCAUU